GGGAGGGAAGGAGGGAGGGAGGAAGGAAGGGAGGGAGGGAAGACUCAUGGAAGCAGAGUAAGGGGAUGGCUUCAGAAUGAAAACUACCAGAAUUGAGAAAUAAAACUUAGGCGAAAAUAAAAACACUUGUCCCAGGCAGGACCCUGGGAGAUACAGCAGCUGCUCCUGGAAGCACCCACACCACCCUGUUCCAGGUUUAAAAGUACAGAGAUUAGCCAUGGGGAGCCUUCCCAGGGCUAAAGCCAGAGGCAUUCCUCCUUCUCAGAGUUCAUCAUAUUCCCUCCUGGGUUCGGUGCUAGCCAAGAAACUUGGUGCACCGCAGGGAAAUAAAGAAAAGACACAUGAAGACCUUCGGCUUGGUACAGAGCGUGCACUCCAAGCAGUCCUGGUUCCCGCUCAGGCCAGGCAGUCUUAGAUUCCUAUCUUUUCAUUUUGGGUUUGGCUGGUCCCGACCUAAGGAAGCUGCAAGCCCUUGGGCCAGAAAUUUGCAGAAGUCUGCAUUCCGCAUGAGAACCAGGCAGACCUCUGUUUGCUCAAAAGAUGGUUUUUGAUGGCACAGGGGCCAUUGAAAAAACAUUAACCAUCAUGUAUUCAUUUUAAUGUGCAUUAAAUAUAUCUGAGCUGUGCCUCAGACCUGUGUUUUAAUGGCCGUAAUAAAGUUUCUUGUGUAAAUGCAGGUUUGGCAAGCCUUCUUCUGCCUCUCUUCCUGGCCUCUCCUCCCAAUUAUAAAUGUUCUCAGAACUCAUUCAGGCGCCUUCAGGACUCUGGCUUGGCUGCCUUUGAUGCUGUUGUCAUCGCCACUACUUCUGCUUCCUUCUCUUGGUUAUCAACUCCCAGCAUUCCUUGGGGCCUACUGUGGCUGAGCAUCCUGGGGGUCCAGAAGACUGGAUUCUGCCCAGCCUCCGUGUCAGGUGGGAGUUGAAACCUUCAGCUUUAAAAUGUCAAGAUCUGAAGGAAGCAGAACUCCGUGGUGAGCACGUGGUGAGAUUCAAGUCGGCCUUCCAGACCCUUUGUUCGGAUCCCUUGACUCUCAGUUUCCUGUUUACAGAAAUGUCACCCGGAAGGAGAUUUCUCUAGACUCCAGUUUAUAUUUAGGAAGCACCGCAGAGCGCUCUGUCCAGACUGCUUCCUGCGCAUGUGCCAAGCAGCCCCGGGGCAUGGUUGUAGCUUCAAGCCUCCGUAGUAGAGAAAGUUAAGGAGAACGGUGUUAUGGGUGAUUUGGGGUUAGCUAAGCCUCAGUCAAACAAGGAAGGCAUCGUGAGCAGUGCAGAUGGUGACCUCUGGUUGUACUUUCUCCAAGUAGAAUUAAAAAAAAAAAAGGAUAUAUUAAAAGUCUUAAAGUUGGUGGACUCUGUAAACGUCAAGAGUUGGGAAUGAAUUUGCAUCUGGAACAGAGUUAAUGGAAUGAAGAAAUGAAGGCAGAGAUAAAAAGGGUCUGAGUUAAGGCUAAAUAGAAAAGGAGCUGCAGCUACAACUCUGGCAGGCAUGUUAGAAUACCAUGGCCAGGCCCCCUUUAGAGUUUAGCAUUUAGCAGGCCUAAGGUGGCCUGAGAGUUGACAUUUGCAAAUUCCCAGAUGAUUCUGCCUCUGCCUCUGCCACUUGGUCUGGGAGACCCCACUCUGUCAGCCUCUGUGCUAAUGAGCUGCCAACAUGCAAUUUACAACCAGCAAUCUGGUAACAGAUUUUCCUAAAUUAUGCAAUUUUAAUUUAUCCUUCCUUGUGUGUUCUUUAAUAGCUAAAUAACAGAGUAGCCGAUAAUCAAUAUGGAGAAAGGGCCAGGAAAGCUGAGGGAGUCAGUCAAGCUUUGCCCCUAUCACCUGGACAGGUCUCAGAGGGGACGGAGCAGGAGUGUCCACAGAUACUUCACCCUUCCCUAGGGAUGAUGACCACACAAGCUGAUCUUCAGACCCAGAAUCCUCAGUGCUCCAACUACAGAUACUUGAACACCAACUGGCCUCCAGAAGUGGAAAAUUCCACCCUAUGUGUGAGGACCUUGCCCGGUCUACAGAGUGAGUUUCAGGAUAGCCAAGCUACACAAAGAAACCCCAUCUUGGAAAAUAAAAAUAAAAACAACAGCAGCAAUGUAAAAUGUCCUUAGUUCUCAUAACCCCAAGCAGAACUCUCUCUUCAUUCAAAGGAUGGGCAUGAACCGCCAUCUCUAGACCCUGUGGCACUGUCUGCAGCCAGAUUAACUGUUAUAUUUGCCAGCCCUACUGUGCACGGUGCCUGACAAUACUGAGGGAUCAGACAACACUUUGUAACGGUGUCCAAGUUGUUGGUUAAAGAGUUAGUGUGCAAGUUCCCAAGGGGAAUUCAUCCUUAGAACUCACUGAAUGCCCACUAGCUUCCUCACCCGUCCCUCAUCUCCUUCUUCCUUACUCAUCCUUCACUGGGGGAAUUUCAGAGACUAACACAUGGCAGGGGAUGUCCCUGGCGGGCUUCCCGAAGACGGUCACUGCUGGUGGCUCCCCUGUCUUUUCUCUACCACCAUGACGUUAGGACGUGUGCUCUAACAUCAGUUUCCUUCAAAACCCUCAUGAGCACGGUUCCUGUUUCUUCAAAAAAAAAAAAACCUUUCACUAACUCUGCAACAGUGGUUCAUUUUCAAUGACUCCGCAACAGUGCUUCAUUUAAGUUCUCUUUGCUCACUUAAUUAUUCUGAGGAACAUGAGGUAAAAUAUCAAGGCUAUGAGAAUUCUUUUGGGAGUAGAGUGUUUUUCACCCACAUUCAUUAGAUUAUUUCUAUAAAAACAGUUUCUUAAAGAGGAAUUAUUGGGUCAAAGAUUAGAAAAUUUUAGGGUUUUUUCAUAUACUUUGGGGUCAAGGAAAAAAACUAGUUUUCUUAGAGGUCUAAAGGCACCAACUAAUAGUGUUAGAUUUAAAUGCUUUCUUGCUUAAAGGAUCGUAGAUGUGACCACAGAAAACAAAUUCACCCACUCAUUCAUUCAUUCAUUCAUUCACUCAUUCAUGUAAGUCUGGCAUCAGCCCCUGCCCAGCACUGAGCACAUUUAAAGCCCUGAUCUCAUUUCUAGAAUUAGAUUUAAGAAAUAGCCUGAGCGUGGAGUGAAGGGCGUCAGAUACCCAAACCCCACCCCUGCAAACUGCCUUCACCAGAGGCCUGGUGGCUUCAUUCGCUGACUUCUUGUUCUUCUAAGGAAGUUGUUAACCAUUUCAUGAGAAAGAUAUCCACUGCUCACUGCGUUCAGGGCCAUUUGAAGCCCAGGAGACAAAACCAAAGAAUUUCCCCUGUGCCUGGGCAAAUUCUUCCAUGGGGAGGUGGAUGAAUCGAUGUGACUACCCCCAUCAAAUAACUGACAGGCACUGGGGUUUCUGAGAAUUAAAAAUGCGAUCUGAGGGUUUCUGCCUUGAUUUGAAGGCAGCUCCUGCAAGUUGUUGCUGUGCUUUGGUAGGGAUUGGUCCAGCAGGGCUUGGCUGUGAUUGGCCCAGCAGGGCUUGGCUGUGAUUGGUCCAGUGGGGACUUACCUGUGUGUGAUUAGUUCAGCAGGGACUUGGCUAUGAUUGGCCCAGCAGGGCUUGGCUGUGAUUUGUCCAGCAGGGGCUUAGCUGUGUUGGUCCCAGGAGGGACUUGGCUGUGAUUGGCCCAGUAAUGGUUCAUGAACUGGAAACUUAGUUCCCACUAAGAUGUCACUUGAGAGGUGAGGCCUCGUGGAUGUUUUAGACCAUUGCAGGUAUGCCCUCAGAAGGCAUUGUCUCAGUUUCUUCGGGAACUCCAGUGUUUCUGGAAACUCCCAGGAGUUUCUCUCUGGCUUCUGCCUUUCCAUGUGAUUUCUCAUACACCUUUCCUCUUUGAUGAUGUUGCCACACCAUUCAAGGAAACUGUCACCAGAGUCUGAACUAAAGGUAUUGACUCCCUUGCUUAGCCUCCAAAGCUAUGAGCUACUCAAACCACUUUUCUUUAUACAGUCACCAACCUCGGGUAUUUUGUUAUAGCAAUUAAAGAAAACAGACUAACACAGCUGUCCCCCACAUUAGAAAGUCUAGCCCUUGUUUUUAGGAAUCCAUCCUUCCAUCCUACUGGUCAGUCUUCUGCCUCCCACAAUAUCCAGUGCUAUUUCUUCUCCUUUUCAUAAUGAUAAGUGCGUGUGAGAGGUAUCGUCUUAAAACAGAUUCCCAACAGGCUAGGAGGAACAAAUUACCUGCUUCUUAACACUCUGCUACUGAGGUCAGCAUUAGACUGACUUGCUGCAAAGGAAGCUGCAGUGUGUUAUCUGGGGAACAUUCUCUAAGUGUCUAAAUUGCUUGCAUCCCUGAAGUGAAUGUAGGUCUUUUAUUGUGAUGUGUGGCUCGUGGAGACCUGAUGAGUCCCAGUGGGGUACAGUCAAGAGUGACUAAUGGGUCAUGGGCUCAUUUGCUUAAAUCUCAGAGAAUAAUCGGGGCCACCAAGGGAAAGUGUGAGAUGUGCCUAUCUGCAGCCAGGCCUCUUGCAAAUUAUGGUGGCUCCUGUCAUCGGAGGCUAUGAGUCACCUGGUCUGCAUCAGCACCACUAUUAUAGAAAGACCCACAGACAGUCUGGCAGGCUCACACAUCUCCUGCCUGACCACUGGUGCCCCACGACGCCAGUGGCCAGCCAGUAUUGUUGUGUCAAGGGAGCAGAGUCUGUGUCUGGGAAGUGAAGCCUAUGUGAAGCACUGUGAAAGGCACUGUCUGUGUCAGCCGUGACGUCACUGCAGAGGUCACCCGCCCACAUUGUGCUUUGCAUGAUGUCACUGCUAAAGUCACUUGGCUCUGGAUCAGGGUUGCCUCUGUCAAUGCUGCUUUAGUUCAUGAGUAGAAUGAGAGGAAGGGGAUUCAGGGGGAUUACAAAGUAUUUUUCCCUUUAUAGUAUUACGCUACAAAUGGCGGCGAGGCAUAGUUUGGCAUAGUUUCCACACACUGCCCUCUGCCUACGUUGUGUAUCUUCUUUUGCUUUGGAAAUUUUUCAGUAGUCUCGUUACCCAAAAGCCUUGGUAGAACGCUCAAAGUGUAUGAUUCUCAGAGUAAAAAUUUGUCUCACAUAGGAAGAUGUUCCUUGAGGACCCUUGUGUCCCAACAGUGGCCACUGACAUGCUGGGAGCUCUUCCUGGAUGAAAUGUGUGUUUCUUUCUGUGAACCCCUCGAGUCCUGACCCCUGAGGAUCUCAAUGCAACUCAGGAACUCUGCUGGGAGAGCAAGCUCCCCAAUGAAGUCCUCAUGGACUGUGACCUCCAGAAACCAGUUGUGGAUCUCUUACAAGGAGUGUAGCUCACCUUUUACCAGCUGGUUUCAUCUCUACCUGAGGCAAGAUAGAGAAUUCUGCUUGGGAAAUAUGAGCCCCUGUCCCCAGCUGAUAGACAGGCAUGGAAGGAAUGCAUUUGUUGGCAGGAAUUAGACAGUGCCUGGGCACAAAUGGAGUCACAUUCUUAUCCAUGCUCUCUCCGCUUACUGUGGUAUGUGGGGUGUGCUCUGCAGGGAGAUCGGUGCAGGGCGACCUGUCAGAGCUUUGGCCAGCUGCCCUAACCGUGGAUCCCAGCAAAAGGAUGCGGUGAAAGAAAGCAGGGCAGGCCAUGGGGAUGGCAACAGGAGCUAGCUCCUUGGAUGAGUUCUCCAAAAAAGAAUGUUUCUCAGACUUGUGCUCUUCAUGUGCCUCAGCCUUAUCGCUUCUGUGGCCACCAGAAGGCUUUCAUGGCAAGCACACAAGUAAGGUAGAACUUACAAAACUCAGCUAAUUAAAACCCAACUCGUGGGGUUCUGUGUGCUGCGAUCCAGGAGUGUUCUGGGCCAGAGCCUCCUGGAGUCUCUCUGGUGGCCCAUAAGAAGAGGCAUGAUAACAAGCGCUGGAUUUGGAGUCUCAAGUCUUAUCAUCGUCGUGACUGCACCUCUCUCAUAGCGGUCUAAGUCUGGGCAACCUUGGACCUCUCUAACUUUGGCCUCCUAGUUAUUAAGUGCAUAAUGUGUGGUUAGGGAGAGUAAAAGAGAUUCCGUUGGAAGACCCUAUAAAAGUGGAGGCUGGGCUUCUAACAAAGGAUCUUAACAUUGAUCUUGGCAAAAUAAGAGGCUGAGGCUCGACUAGAGGAGACCUGUGGGAGGGAUGCUGGGAUGUGGGUGUGGCAGGUAGGUAAUCCCAACCCUAUCAGACAGAACAGAAGGACUCUCCUUUAGGUAUACUGAGUACGGAGAAGAAACAACUGCUGUGAGCACAGGGUGGAGUCCUGGAUCGAGUGCUGUAUCAGGCUCUUCUGCAGAUGUAACACAUCACCACUGGGUCAGAGUAACACAAAUAGUAUCUUAGAAUUCUGCAGUUGAGAAUCUGAAAUGGAUUGCUGGAGUCAGUCUACGGGCAGGGCCACACUGAACAAGAGAAAAUCUGUGUCCUUGCCUUCUCCUGAUCUAGGUGCCACCUAGAGUCCUCAGGGCUUAGGAUCUUCACAGAGCAACUUCACAGUCACUCUCUGCUCUCUCCUUGGACCACAGGUGAAGGUCUGCUGAGUGACACCGGGUAGAAAUCAUGUCACACUGAUAGCAAUCGACAAAGCAGGGUCCCCAGAGCUACUCUGAGAAAGAUGAAGGAAGCCAAGCAAAUCAGGUCUCUCUUUCUUCUCCAGAUUAAUGCUAUCCACUUUGAGCUGAGCCCCCUCACUAUAUGGAGGCCAACUGUGCUUUUUGAAAGAUCAAAUUAAGUCUAAUUUUACUCGGGCAGAAAGAUAGCUCUGUCUUUACAGUCCCUUAAGUAGAUAACGUCCUUGCUUCUGCACUGGUUCCUUCUGGACAUGGAAGAGGCAUUUAAACAGGCUGGUUUUGAAAGCUGAGGAACCCGGCUCAGCUCCGAGUACUUUCUGAUGAAAGGGCUUUUAUUGGCCUCCUGUCAGCACCCCCUCCCUUGUUCGUUAAAUAAUAUGACAAAUGAGCGUUGUGAUACAGUCGUCUUUAGUGUGGUUUCAUGAGUUGACAUAAUUAAGAGCCAUUUCUACUUGGCAGUGCUUCGGGAAAACCAUCCAAGUCAGAUGCACAAGGAAAUGAAUUGCCUCACAGCUCAGGUGAGUGCUUGCUCUGGAGAAAGAUGUUAAGUUGGAAGGAAAGGUGGGAGAUCAGAGUGAGAGAGCACAGCUAGGCUGGUGGCUCAGCCCCAGACAGGGUUCCUGGUCCCUUUCCUCCUGACUCCACAUAUGUGAGGAAUGCACACCUGAAAUCAGAUAUGGACUAGUUCCCCACUGCAGCUGCCCACCUGCUGGACAGAAACAAUGGUGUCAAGGGAAAAUGCUUGUGUCUUUCCUUCCCUCCAGUUCUCAUGAAAUAAACAUCACCUGGCAGUUCCUUCCAGAGUGAUUAGGCAUUAUUUCAUUGCGUUUGGUCCUUCCUGCUGGGUUAAUCAUUGUUCUGAGCAAUGACUGCAUUAAUCAGCAUGCUAACAGUCUCUAGUCAUUAACAACAUAAUAGGUUCAGUGCCUAGAGAGGCCCCUUUAUCAAACCACCAUGAAGCUUAGAACUCAAUCUAAGUUGAGUGCUGUUUCCUAGGAGAGCCACAAGGGCCCAAGCCACUGAAAGUUUCCUUUGGGCAAUUUAGUAUUGGAUAGGUUCCAGGGGUCAUCUUCAAGGCCGGGCCCAAGAACUCUGUUUGGGUGGAAUUUCAAGACUUUGGCUCAGGGUCAGCAGAGCCUUUGACUUCUGUACAUUUCAGCUUUGAUGCUUUUCAAAGCUGCAGAGACAGUCUGUGUGUAUCAUGGUUUAGAAUAUAGGCUUGGGGGCCAACACACCAGACAAGCAUUUGUAAGACUUGGGGAUGAAUUGAAUGCUUGGGAGUGAGUGUAGUUGACUGUAUCGAAUUAAUUUGCCAAAGUCAAUUAUUUGGGGGGGAUGAGAAUGAAGCUCAGUUGGCAGAGUUAUGAAGCCCUGGGUUGGAUCCACAGCAAGACGUAAGACUGGGUGAGGUGGCACAUGCCUGUAUUGUCUGCACUUGGGAGGUGGAGGCAGGAGAAUCAGAAACUCCCAAAUCAACCUCGGCUGUGUAGACAAUUCUAGGCCAAGUUCAGGCUAUAUGAGACUCUGGCUUAUUGUUUGUUUUUCAAUUUAAAAAAAAAAUGAGGGCUAAAAGUUUUAAGAUAAGUAUUAUCUUAAGAUGAAGACAUAGUGUUUUGGUGGCUUUUUAAAUCCUUGAGGUUCUGUCCUAUCUUCUGAGGUUUUAGUAGAAUUAGAAUAACCCAAGGGAGAAACUAAAAAUACCAUUGUAGGUUAAAGGUGGCCAGUGUGGUUCCUACUCUAAGUGAGUCACUCUUAGUGACAGGUACAGAUGACAGGUUCUUGCAAGUUCAGGUGACAAACCACCCUUUUAUCAGCUGCUCCAUUCACCCCAAGUGACACAAAGUUCUCAAAUUCCCCAGAUGUGUAGGCUGACCCAAAUGCCUGCCACUACUCUUAAGCCCAGCUUAGCUCUCCUCCCUGGCCUCCUACUCUGAGUCACAGCUGAUCAUGCCUUGGGUCUGCCUAAGAAUUAACGGUCAGAAUUGAGCCAUCCAAAGUCAGGGAACCCUCCCAGGAUGAAAAGGACACCUUCAGGGUGCUAGAGAGAUGACUCAGAGGUAGGAGCACUUGUUGCUCUUGCAGAAGACUGCGGUUGGGUUGUCAGCACCUGUGUGGUAGUACAUCUGUAACUCAAGACCCAGCAGACCCAAUACUCUCUUCUGACCUUCACUUCCAUGGGCACUGGAAGCAUGUGUGGUAUACAAACAUACAGGCAGGCAAAACAGUCAGUCAUACACACCAAUAGGAAAAUAAAUAAAUCUUUAAAAAAAUUUUUUGAAGGGCACCACCAGCCACUGUGAUAAGGGAGCCAAACCCCAGAAGAGGAUCAGUGUAAAAUGUUCCUACCUAGCACAAACCUGUCCCCUCCGUUAUAUACACUUACUCAAUACUGGGGACACAGAGGCUGUUGUCACACACCAGGGGAAAGAUGGACAUUUGUACGUCAAGAAUUUCCAUGUGGAGAAGCCAAGAGCUUCUUUGUCACUGGGCCCAGCAGAGCGGCAACCAUCAGGUUCUGUCAGUUUGGCCUUCGUGUGCCAACCCAUGCAUGGGAAUCCCUGUGGCAUGUCAAGGGCACAGGACAGAGCCCACAGUUUCCAUUCAAUCUGUUCCAUCUUCUGCCUUCUCAGGCAGUAGUCAGAGCCCAUCUUGCAUGGGGGCGCAAGGGUGCUCUUUUCCUGGGAGAACACAAUCUUUGGAUGGCAAGGCAGAAAAUUUAUCAGGCAUUCCCAUGGAAUAGAAGGCCCCGGCGGCAGGUUUGGUGGCAACUUGAAACAAACAUAAUUCUGUUUAUCACCUUUCCUCAGUCCCUAGAAAUCUCCAAGUCUCCUCCCCUCAGCAGGUUUGAGGUGAACUUGGGGCUGGAAGUAGCUAGCAUGGCCAUUGUGUCCAAAUUCCACUACUUCUGUCCUGGAUUUGCUUUUUCUGGCAGGCCUGAGCCAGUUCCCAGUGAAAUAUAUCCACUGGCUUUCAAAAUUAUAGGCAAAAGAAAUCCUGCUGGCAAGAGGGACGGUUGGGGGUGGGGAGAGACUGGGGAGAAGGACUACAGUAAUUAUUGCAGAAGGUCCGGUGCCGUGGAUCUGCCUGGAGGAAGUUAUUCCACGUGGUCUCUGCUCACUUACUUCCCGUUUGGCUCUCCCAGCUUCCCCAGGCUGGGCACAGAGCCUCACUUUUUAUAGACUGUAAGUCCAUUGUCAGGUUCUGUAUCCUAGUGGUUUGUAAAGUCCUGUUUUCUUGCUUUUAUGGAUGUGCUAGGAUGGCGGACGCUCACGGCGUGGUUGGUACCUUCCCUGUAUGAUUAAUUAGAAAGUAUGGCUGCCCCAGCCCCUCCUAAGAGACACUAUAACUGCAGACCAAGGCAGCCUCUGAUUUGCUGUGUCCCUGGAUGAACACAGUCCUUGAGCAAUGAGCCCCAUCCUACCUAUUGAGGAGCAAGGUGAAGUUUCUCCUCAAGGGUUAUGCAAAUAUGGAAGUCCCUCUGGACUUUGAGGCUGACCCUGGUGUUUGAGAGGAUCUUCUGUAAACUGGACUGGGUUUGCUGUGUGUGCCCAAGGACAGGAGGCAGUGCCAGACUCAGGACUUUCCCAGCUCUGGUUCUAAGCAGAUGAGGCCUUUUCUUGGAAGACAGCCUCAAAGGGCCUGGAUCUCCCUCAGACCUCUGACUUCUGCUGAAGGGAAGACAUACUGGUGGCAGAAGGAAGCAAGAAUAAUUAGCGAAUUCAUGCACUUGGACCGUCUUCAGAAUGGCAGUGACUGAUGCUGCUUUCUCCUCAGCUACCAGGUUCUGCCAGCUUGGCCUUUGUAAUGUUCUAUCAGCUCCAGCAACAUUGAGUUUGGGGUUCCAGUCUUUCCUCUCAUCCAUCCUAAUCACCAUGACCACAUUGUUCAGCCUAGAGCAGUGGUUCUCAGCCUGUGGGUCAUGACCCUUUGUGGGGGUGGGGGGAGUCCAACAACCCUUUCAACAGGAAUCGCCUAAAACCAUCAGAAAAUGCAGAUUUUUUUUUACGUUACAAUUUAUAAUAGUAGCAAAAUUACAGUUAUGAAGUAGCAAUGAAAACAGUUUUACAGUUGGGGGUCACCACAACAUGAAGAACUGUAUUAAAGACUCUCAGUGUUAGGAAGGCUGAGAACCGCUGCCCUGGAGCUAUAUCUUGGCAUCUUGGCCUCAACCAUGUACUGGCUCCCUACUUACUUUGUUUUGAGGCAUCCAGGCCCCUACACACUGUGGUUUUCAUGCUUGCUUAUUGGCUCCUGUCCAACCCUUCAGUGAGAAGCAGAGCAAAGAGCUCUUGGACCCUCAGACACUUGCUGUCUCCCAUCUUUGCUCUGUGAUGAUGAGCCAAUUAAGUCCUUUUUACUCAGUCCUUGACAGUUCUAAGCGUGUACAUGAGCUGGCUGGUGGUACACUCCAGUACUCUAGUACUCUUAUGUGGGCUCUCUCUCUCUCUCUCUCUCUCUCUCUCUCUCUCUCUCUGUGUGUGUGUGUGUGUGUGUGUAUUAGUGUGUGUUUGUCUCUCCCCUCCUCCCCUCCCUUCUCUCCCUCCAUCCCUCUGUCCUUUCUUCCUCCCCCUCUUUCUUUCUCCCUGUCUCUCUCCCCAUCUCUCUCUCUCUCUCUCUCUCUCCAUCUCCAUCUCCAUCUGUCUCUCUCUAAUUUUCCAGCACAAUAGUAUAUAACCCGUUCACGUGAUCUAUGAAAUAAAAACCCUGAAAACAGGCAUCUUCUCUGCCCCUCAGAGAGCCAUGUAAUGAUGUUCAGAUAGACCUUGUCCCAAGAAGCUGCCUUGCAUGGUGAUCUGUGGCACUGGCUCAGGCAGGGAUUGGAUACCACCACACCCUAGGUAGGUUCUGCCAUCCCCAGCCCAUUUCUCCUCAGCAGUGUGGGCUGAGAUGAGUCUUAUUCUGCAGAAGCCAUUUUAAGGAUCAGCCAUCCUUGGUUAGGAGCUUGGCCCCAUGCUCAGGGUGUUACCUUUUUCAUUAAAUAGAUGUGUCUUGAUGACUUGGAAUUCUGGGUGUGAGAUCCAGGCCACUUCUAAGGACUGGGUAUUUGGCUUGGUCUCUUCAUUGUUGGCUUUUGUACAUUCUUUGGCUUUUUGUUCUCCUGUGAAAACUUGAGAGAGUAGGAAGGACCCACUUCCUUGGGUGGUUAUGGGAAUUACAUGUGUUGGUGGAUGUGGAAUGCCGACACAUAGGGGAGAAUGACUCUGUAAAUGAAAAGUGUACAGGCUCUGGAGUCUCUGGGAAUGGCUGUGAGUGAAGGGUCAGGAUUAUAACCCACAGCACAUUCUUGCUUUUCCUCACACCCUUCGCUUCCCCAGCCUUUACGACUAGUUGAGGUGGGAAAGACCCCCUUCUUUCCAGUUCUGACUUCACCAUUUUGCCCUACUCAGUGCAGACCUGAGAUGGGAAAGUUCUAGAAUUUCAGAGGAUGCUUCAUCUUGUUUUUGUAAUGAGACCUUUCACAUGGCCAAGGUGAAUUGGAUGGCCUGUUUGUUCUCCAUGCACGUGCCCUGCAGAACCUUCUCCUUGAACUCAGAGCCCCCCAUACCCUUUCACACACAUGCAAUGUGCUCUCUUGGCUGGAGGCUGCAAUUCAGAACUAUUAGCCUUUUCCUCCUCCAGCCUCCCCCUCCAUUUCAUCAGCUUCAUCCUGGGGUGGAUAAUGUUUCUCUAACUGCCUAAUUGGGAGAAUUUAGCUGGAAAAUUGCCACGGCGUUCUUUUAAAGGGUGCCAGGCGCCGGAGGCCGCCAGCUGUAAUGUCAGUGGGUAAUCCUGGCUUUACUGCUGUGGAGCCAGGGAGAAGCCUCAGCCCCUGUCUCCUCCUCAGGUGCUUUGGGCAGACCUUGGCUCUGGAAAGACACCAGAGCAGCAUCGAGGUGGCCAAGGAACAUGCAUCUAAUUUGAUCUGUCUCCUUUAGCUUUUGUCCCUCUCCCUAGCCUGUAUCACUGGGGUAUGCACUGAAGCGAUGGAGAGACAACCCAGGACAUCACUGUGGUGUAGCCAUUAACUGCACACACUCCAGCAAACUGAGUUUAGGUUGAGGCUGGGAUACUUAGGGACAGAUUUAAUUGCCAAGGACCAUCCGUAUAAGGGACAGUAUACUGUUUACAAGUGUCAGUUUUCAGGGCAGACUUCAAGUUUAGGUCCACGUCUACCCUCUGGUACUUCUUAGGCAAGUUAGUCACUCUCCUGGUUUCAUCAUCUGUAAGACAAUAUGGAAACACUACCACCAACCUCUGGAUCACAUUGUAGGCUAUUGAGCUAGCUGCUACUGCUGUUAACAUGAGGUGGCUAGGAUCUCACUGUACAGUGUCCACCCACUUGAAGAAGAGCAUAGACACUUGGGUGGGGCCAGUUUGUCUGGCUGAGUCUAGCAGGGCUAUACCCUAGUCCUAUCUCUUUUACAUUUAUGCUCUAGAAUGCCAUUACUUGGUGCUAGCCUAAGAAGGCAAGGAAGGGUAGUUUAGCUGGGGCUAAACUUCAUUUGAGGAUGGAGAAGCAUCUCUCCUCAGUCUAAAGCACCAUGAAGUCUUCCUAACCACUGUAGAUGAGGCAUGUGGAGUCCUCACCAGGCCUCAGACGAUGGCGAUUGUGUUAACUCAGUUAUUACUCAACAUGACACAAGGAAGCAGGCAUGUAUUAUGGAUGGGAGGGAUCACAUGGAAUACUCAGAAGGAGAGUUAAAGAGAGUCCAACAGCAUUUGUAUUACCAUGCGUACAGCAGGCCAACUCAGGGAUAAAUGGAUAGCCAAAAUGAGGCAGAGAGAUGUAAUACACUAUUCUUCGUCCUUAAGAUGGAAGGAAAUUCAAAGCACAAGUACUUUAUGAUUCCAGUUAUGUGAGCUACCUAGAGGAAAAACUUCACAAGGCCAGAAUGUGGAAUGGAAUGGCAGUUGACAGAGGUUGGGGGCAGGGGGCAGGAAAUGAGGAAUUAUUGCUUAGAAGUCACACGGUUUCAAUCUUGUCAGAUGAAACAUGUCCUAGAGAUGGAUAAUAGUGGGAUUGUAGAUGUACUUAAUGCCAUUGGGCUGAAUGCUUAAGGAUAGUUCAAAUGGUCAAUUUUUAUAUUGUAAGUCAUUGUAAAUAAUGUUUAAAGAGGGAAUAUAUACAAAGAUCCAAGUGGGUUAUAGGUGUAGGUAUGUAUGUAUGAUGGUUGAGCACUAAUGGAGGAGAAACCACAGGGAGUUCCACCCACCACCAGUUGAUCAGAGAGCUCGUUUUAGUAUAGAGUGUGUGUUUGUGUGUGUGUGUGUGUGUGUGUGUGUGUGUGUGUGUGUGUGUGUGUGUGUAGUGGGUUUACUAUAUAGUAGCCCAACACGUCCAACCCCAGCUCAGCAGGGAAAAGGACAUGAAUGGUGCCUACUUUAUUCCCUCUUGGUUUCUUACUUUCUAUCUGUGACUCCCAGUGGUUAUGAACAGCUGGAAGCCAGAGGUCACAGGAAGCCAGAGGUCAUAGGAUGCUGGCAUUGUGGUCUAUAUAAGUCAACCUCUUUAGGACUCUGGAAAGGCCAGAGGAUGAAGGUGGAUUUAGAUGAUGAGAAAAUAUCUGUAUGACUACUGUCACCCCCAACUUAUGGAUUGGGAAACUAGGGGAAAUUAGAAUACAGCAAUAUACCUGGGGUUGCAGUCAUCCAGUUGGUCUAGAGCUGUGGUUCUCAACCUUCCUAGUGCUGUGACCCUUUAAUACAGUUCCUCAUAUUGUACUGACCCCCCAACCAUAAAAUCAUUUUGUUGCUACUUCACAAUUAUAAUUUAUGUUGUAAAUGGCAUAUAAAUCAUAAUAUCAAUAUCUGAUACACAAGAUAUCUGAUAUGUGACCCCUGUGAAAGAACCAUUUGAGGGAAAGAGACACAAAAAUGUAACAAAGGUCGGGACAUGUGAACACUGGGUGUUCUCUUUUCUGUGGUAACAGAGAACUUCACUAAAUAGCUUGAGCAAGGUCAUGCGGCUGACAGACAAAAAGGCCCAGGAUUUCAGACUCCAACCCUGAGCUCUUUCCACAAUUGUGUGACCUUCAGGCUCAAAGUCCCUCCCAGUCACCACCAUUAUCACCAGCAUCAGGAGGCGCGCACUGAGGAAGUGUUGUUUUCUGCUGUGUGUUUAGACAAAGGGAGCCACUAUGCACAGACCCACUGUAUCUCCCCGCCCCUAAGCCUUCAGCCUGGGGCACAGACACACACACACACACACACACACACAAACUGCUGGCUCUCCAUUUCCCACUAGUCACAACAAAUGCUGGGACUAAAAAUGACAUCUGAAAUCUUCUAGCAAAGUUCCCAGUUCCUGGACCAGAAGAUCCUGGUAAUGUAUCGGUCUCAGCAUCCACUCAGACCUGCCAUUAAGAACUAGAAAGAGGUGGCUGUUUCCCCAGGGAUCUCAAACCAUCUCCCUUCCCAGCAUGCACUUUUGCUUCCUACAUCUAGGCUCCAAAAUCUGUGGUCCUCAACCAAACCCAGCCUGCUGCUGCUCUGGUAACUAGGCUUUCAGUACCACACAGUCACCCGUUUUUCUUGUCUUUGUUGGCUUUCACAAAGGGCCAUAAACUCUGUGGCAUUUAAAAAAACAAAAACAAGCACUAGAAAUGUAUUGCCUCGUAGUUCUGGACUAAAGAGUUGCAAAAUCAAGAUCUGGAAAGGGGUGAAUUCUGAGAGCCACUAAGAGCAGGUGUUGCGAGCACCUCAUGUAAACCGCAGGCGUUGCUGCGUACUAUAGCCUCACUGGCCCUGCAGCAACAUAUGCACACACUGGCACACAAACACGCACCACUCCAUAGAAGUAUGAUGGCCACCUACCAUAGACGGGGAAAACAAAUGCCUGGGGGUGCUAACCACUCAGGUUGCCACACAGAUCUGCCUGAGGUGUUUAGAAUAAGGCCUUUAGGAAGUUCUAGGUUUAGACAAAGGCCAUCAGUGUGAAGCCUGGUGAUUGAGUCAUGGUGGCGUUAUAAGGACAGACAUGUAGAUAUAGACACUUACACUCUCUGUCACGGGAUACUUAGGCACUUACUACAGGAGGACCACCAACAAGAAGACAAUUACAAAAGGAGGCCUCUAGAACUCCAGUCUCUAGAACUGUAAGUCUGGGCAUGCCCUGCCUCCCCUAACCUUUCUUUUAUAAAGUUAAUCUGCCUCUCGUAUUUUGUUACAGGAAUGAAAAAUAGAUGGGCACUCUAUGCAUCUCAGAGAACUUGGGGUUUCAAAUGUAUAGUUGAAGAUGCCAUUUUUCAGUCUUACAAUAAUUGUAAAUUAUUGCAAUUAAUUAAUUACAAACUAAUCCAUCUCGUCUUUUGCCCUUCUUUUCCAUCUGUCACACCCCCAACCUGGCAUCUUCCAUAGCCUGAAAAAAUGACUUGGGAAAACCCUUCUGGACCCCAUGCCAGUAGGAGUAGUUUCCUGUUGGCCCUUGGGGCAUGCUGUGCCUAGUCUGUGCAUGAGUCCACCAAGGCUUUUUUUGUCAUAUGUUAUGGUUCCCACAUCCUGAUGUCAUAGCUGAGACUUGAACGCAGGCUACCUGACCCUGAAAGCUCUUGUCUUCCAUCGUAGCCUUUCAUCUAUGAGUACAACUGUCUUGCCAUCUGCCUAGAGAGCUUAUUCCACAAAGGUCCGCUGCACGGUUACUGGGUACCCCACUUUACGGUAACAGAACAUAACUGCAGUGUGGUGGUGGUGGUGGGGGUAAACCUGAAGAGAGAAUGGGGUGUGGUGGUGGAAGAGCCCAGAGCUGCCUUUGAGCCGGCCAGUGAGGACAGGGAAGGUUCUCAGAAGCAGAAACACAUAAGCUGAGAGGAAGAGGAAAAGGAAGCCAGCUAAGACCACACUGGGAGGCAGUUGGCACAGGAAUCCAGGCAGAGGACACGAUGUGAGCCAAGGCCUGAAGUAGGAGAGUUGGGAGGAAUUAAAAUCUCAUUGGCGGGAGAGAAGAGAGCCAGGUGGUUAUUUUUCCUGCCUCUGUAGCCAGACUCAAACAGAGAAGAUGGCUCUAAUCCCAUUGUAUUCCCAGGCUCCUGUGAUCCAAGACAUGGCUGGGGGCCUGCGUCUGUCAUUCUGUGGAGUCCUACAGUGGCCUCCUUCCUGGAGCUGCCACCCUGUGGGAGAGGUUAUCACCAGACAGAAAUACAAGCAGUCCCUUCACCAUCCUCAAGGCCCACAGCUUAGAAGAAGAAUAGUUCUCUCUAGGGUUUCAGAAAUGUCAAGCCCAUGUCUCCAUCUACUUGGAAUGAAAGACCGGGGUUACAGCACUAAGGAACAGGCAGAUGGGCCCAGCCACAGCUCUUAAGAAUUUCAGUAAAGCCGAGAGGCACAGUUAGAUCAGGAAAACGUGGGAGGGAAGCUGAAUUUUCUGUUCUGUCCUCUUCCAACAUUCCUAGGUUCUAGGUUCCAGAGUGCAAUUGUCCCUUAGACUACAGGGGCGGGGAGGGACAGGCUGUAAGGACAGUGCUCCUCCGGUAGAUAUCAGAGUCCAUGUACUUUCCAGCCUUUUAUAGAAUGGCACACCAUUUACCUUUAACAAGUCAUUCCUCUCAUAUCUCCUAAAUCAUCUCUAGGUUAUGUGUAAAAUAUAACAUUACAUAACUAGUCACCGUAUACUACCAUUGUUUAGGGAAAUCGUGACCAAAAGAAAAGGGCUGGGCCUUUGAGUGGCGAUGCAAUUGUUUUCUGAAUGUUUUUCAGUUCAAGGUUAGUUGGCACUGUGAAUGCUGAGCCGGUGGAUAUACAGGGCAGGCUGUGCAGGCUUGGGCUGGGAGGGAAAUGUACCGCAUGGUUGAUCUGUGAAGAAGAGAAAGGAGACAGACAGGCUUCUCAUCUUUCCUGCCAGCCGUGAGGUGAGGGGCAGGGUCCAGCCAUAUGGGCAGCCAAGAGGAGGCAGGGACUGCAGCACUUGCUCAGCACUAAUUAGGGCCUGGCUGGAGUGUCUGCAAGGACCCCAGCAGGGACGUUUCCUGCACAGGGCAAGCAGCCCUGGAUUAGGGGCCGACAGGUGCUGCCUCCUCUGACACUUUUGGCAACAUCCUAGCCACUCCUAUGACUUGUCCCUAGAUGCAGGUGACCUUGGAAAUGUGAAGAGUCUAGAGGAAACCAUCUUCCCGGCGCUCUUUGUGGAGAGAGCAGGAGCUGAAAGGCUUCCGUGGAACUUCAGCGCGUGGACGGGUGGGUGGCAUUUCAGUGCGGCUGUUCCAACUCGCCCUGGAAAGCAAGCCAGUGUUUACCCUCAGUGUUUACCGUGAGGUCUGGGACAUGGCAUGCCUUCACAUACUGUGAGGAGGUGGGGGGCCUUUGGGGUGCGCAGACAGUAGCAUUAGGAAUGGGGUCGAGGAAGAGAUGGCAAAGAGUCAGGGUCACUUGAUGACUGCAUUCAACAUUGGCGGGUUUGUUUGGGCUUUUGGUUAUUGUUUUGUGUUGUCUGAUUUGUGAUUUUUGUUUGUUUAGAGGAUUGAUUGUAUAUGUUGAGCCAAUACUUUUGAUACCAGAAUGACUGUCCACUUGGCUUCCUCUAAAUGACCAGCUUGCACUGGAGGUGAUGAAGAAGCUGCUGUCAGAAAGAAAUCUCCACAGAACAGCCUCUCUUUCCCUUUCAUGCCUGCAGCACAGACCUCAGCCCUGUCUCUCAUAGUCUUGUAGACAUCCCUGCACCCAAGUGCUCAGCCAUCUGUCCCCCAUACUGUGGCUUCUACAUUCUAACACAAAUAGGAAACUGCCAACCACGAUCUCUGAAUCUUGGUCUUCCUGCUUCUCUUUGCUCUGGCGCUUGCUGGUUUAUAUACUAACGAUACCAGGAGGAGUCUUUAUAAAUAAAUAAAAAACUAUUAUCAUGAAAUAGGCAAGGCAGACCAACUUUAUAAAGUGAAGAGGUUUAUUCAGCUCACAUGUCUAGGAAUCUGUGUGUGUGUAUGUGUGUGUGUAUGUGUACAGGAUCUGACAAGGAGGCCCUGGCAUGUCACGUCAUAGGGGAUAACAAUGGCAGGGAAGAGGUCACACAUCAUGAAAUGAGUAGCCAGGGACCGAGGUCUUGCAUUCCCUAUUAAGGGCAUACUGUAAGUGACUUUAGGUCACUCUACCCGCUCCACUCUCAGGUAUUUUAUCAAUUCCUGUAUCACUGCGCUGGAGACCAAGCUUGCAUGCGCUUUGUGAGGCCCCUCUUACCCUCUUACAGUGUAACCGUGUCAUAGUACUCCGAAAGGCAUCUUCAAUGCUGAGAGCAGUGAUGUUUGGUGGAAAAUGUGUUUUCCACAUAGUUAGGCAUGCCCCUUCUGUUUGUCAUUGCUGGAAACUAUCCUUUUCAUAGAAAUCAGCCAGGGAGUUGGACCCCAACUAGUUCCAUGGUUUAAAAGGAGAAAAGGACGGCCCUCUUAAUCAGUGUGAGCAUGUACAUAUAUGUGCACUAGAACCAUUAAUGGCUCGUCAGAGAGAGGUUAAAUUUAUGUGCGGUUUAACCAAACGAUGCGUCUCUGGGGGAGAGAGAGGGGGGAGCCAUCUCCCACUCCCAUUAAACAGUAUUUGUGACUCAUGGAAAAGAAAAGAAAAGAAACCCUGAACUCCACUAGCGUGAGAAAACAAAGGGGAAAUCGGAAUUGCAGAUCUGCCAGAAACCUGCCAUUCACAGAGCCCACAAAUCACAGGAAAACAAAGAGAAAUGGAAAGAUUUGGUAUUAAAAACCCAUUCUCCCCUGAACCUGUGCCAGCACCCAUAAAACAAUUACAUACAAUCAUACCCCGUGCUUCUCCGAGACACUAAUUCUUCUCUUGACAGUCAAAUGUUGUGCUUGUUUCUUUCAAAAUGUUGUACCCCAUAAAGAAGGGUGCAUGAUGAGAAGGGCGGGCCCAGAACACUGGGCAGGCCAGCUUUGCCUCUAAACAUGGGAAUCUCUGUAGGUUUCUUCCUGUGGACUUUCGGGUUUCCUUUGAGCUGCUGGUUUUUGACUGAGCUAUGACAACCUUGUCUGCCUUCCAGAUGGAUCUUGUUGUCACCAAGAAACCAGACAGGGGAGGCAGGGCCGGUCUGCCAAGUAGACCCCUCCAAACUAAGAGAAAAUCUCUCUGGAACUCCCUACCAGAGGAAGAUGUUAACGAUGGAAGCCCAGCCCAAAGUGGGAUGAAUGAAUCCAGUCAGCUCCUGGGAAAGCCGAUCCUGCAAUCCAUUUGUGGAUCGGACGUCCAUCACUCGUUCAAUGGCUCUUUGAUUUAGGAUUAAAUAAGACCCCUAUGUGAAGUUGGCUGUUGGGUUUAAAGCCCUUGCAUUUUGACAGGUGAAGCCCUCAUCAGAGUUACCCUAUGCUGAGAUGUCAGGGAAAAUAUACAAGAGGAAAUUGGAAAAUAUGAUUGAGCCUGAGUGUGAGCUUCCUCUCCCGAGGGGUUCUCCGGGGUUCGCCUGUUUCCUACUGUCGGUCCUCGGGAUGCUUUCCCUCCCUGAGAGCUUUAUGUAGAGGCUCACACAAGGCAUGUAGUUAUAUAUGUAUACUGGCUCCCUGUGGACACAGCUUCGUGGGUACACCUUGUUCAGAUCCAAUAGAAGGGUUUCUUCGUAACAGGGCUGGAGCCCAGAGUUGGAGAGGCAAGAAGAAAAAUAGGCGAAUUAAGUGAGAAGCAUGUUACAGGCCAAUUUAAUCAGGGCUAAUAUAUCAAGCCUGGUAUUGUUUUUGGAACUGGAUUGCGGAGUAACAGGAUCCCUGACAAGUUGUGGCCAGCCCCAGUAAUGGAUGUCUCCAGGGUUCACAGACCUGUCUAGAGGAAACUGCAGCACAGAACACAGCAAGUGGCAGGUCCACUCUCGUGGCAGGGUCAGGCACAGGGCCAGCCAGGGCUCAUUCUGUCCCUAGUCUCACUGCCUUUGCCAUUGAGUGCCACGGUUCCAGAGGCUUGUGGCUAGCCUCCCAUAGCCUGGAUGGGAGAGGAAUGUUUUUGGAAGAUCUCUGUACCUCAGGCCAUAAACAGUUGCAGCCUGGCUUUGGAAGAUGGUGCAGACCCUCACAUCUUGGCCUGUAGUCAUGGCCUACAGAGGCCCCAGACUUAAAGACAUAGAGUCCCUCUAACAUGAAGGAACUCCCUAGAGCAAGAAAGGACUGAGCCUAAGGAAGUGAAUCUCCUGAAUACUUCCUUUUGAAACUCACCAUGAAGAGUCAGCUUUCCCCCACCCACACUGGAUUGUAUGUCCUCAGAGUGAUUUUCCCCCAGGCCAUAAUUCCAGAGUAUAGGAAGUAGAAUGUGACAGUCAUUGUGCCUCACACUUGUGCCCUGGCUUUGUCCUGUAGAUGACACCAUCAGGGACUCAGUAGUGAUGUUGGUGUGACAUGUUAAGCUGUUCUGAGUUCCCUUCUGUGGAGUUCACCAUAGGUCUUAUUGCUCCUUGGCACCCUGUCCACAGCUCUUUUCUUACUCGGUGACAGCAUUUCCUCUAUUCCUUAAAGGAAAGCACUGCAUUUAAGCAUCUGUGGGAUUCAGGGUGAGUCCAAGUCAUCAAUAUUAAGUUGACAUUUGUCAAAACAAAUAUAACUCACCAGGUGGUGGUGGCACACGCCUUUAAUCCCAGCACUCGGGAGGCAGAGGCAGGCAGAUCUCUGUGAGUUGGAGCACAGCCUGUUCUACAGAGUGAAUUCCAGGGCAGCCAAGGCUAUGCAGAGAAACCCUGUCUCAAAAAACAAGACCAACUAACCAAACAAACAACCAAAAAACAACUCAAGACCAGUUAGCCCGGAUGAGCUCCUGCAAGCAAAAGGGGCAUUUAGAGAAGCACCAGCAGUCCCUACUGGCAAAUGGAGUUUACUGUGUUAGCUUGUUAAUGAUCCAUAAGUAUGGAAAUCAUGUUGAGUCGGACUCUCCUCACACUCUCAGUAGCAAUGAAGGAACUUGGGACAGGUCACAGGACCAUGGAAAAUAGACUGACUGAUAGUGUGACUGGCUUGAGGAUGGAUGCUAGGGCAGAUGGUUGGGAUGCAGGCUGCAGCUUCUGCGUCUGGUGUGCUCUCCCCAUCCUUCUACCUUCAGGGUCGGACAGGAUGGCUGCAUGGAAGGGACUCCUUACACCGUUCCCUCUGUUGGGCCUCCUGUUUCUCUGUUCUGCCUAGUGAGAACGUGAGCUGACACCCUUGACUCCUCUCUUGAUAGGAUUCCCUUGCCUGCUUUAUUUGCAAAGCUUAUUAUUGUCACUGGUUGCCUUGUGUCCAAAAGAACCCAGAGCCAAGUAUACUACGUUCCCCAUCUGAUUAACAUACUAAGAAAGACUCGCCUAAUGUCUUGGGGUGUUUCUGUUUCUAUUACUAAAUACCACAGGCUGGCUAGUUUAUAAAGAACAGAAGUUACUUAGUUCUUGUCUUUAGGGCCAGGGAAACCCAAUGCACGGAGCUGGCAUCUGGGGAGGGUUUCUUGCUCCAUCAAAACAUAGUUAGGGUAUCACUGGGUGGGACAGAACAAGCUGUUUGAUUGUCCAGCUUUCUCUUGCCCUUAUCAAGCAGCUAAUAACCUCAUGGUGGGUGCACCCUCGCUGGCUCAUCCAACCUUCACUGUCUCCCAAAGGCCCCGUCUUCAGAGAUCAUUAAAACACUAAAGUUGAGAAUAAGUCUUAAACACAGGGACUUCAAGGGAGACAGAUUCAGACACCAGCAUCUAGUCGGAUGAGCCUGAGUUCUUCAGUCUCUCAUCUAAUGGAGCCAGGACUGAAGCUGAUUGCCAAGCCAGCACUUUCUGCCUGCUCCCUUCUCUAUCCAGGCCCCAGGAUUUCAUCUCUGCCUUUGUAGGUCUCGAGUUCUCAACCUUCCUAAUACCGAAACCCUUUAAUACAGUUUCCUCAUGUUGUGGUAACCCCACCAACCGUUAAAUUAUUUUUGUUGCUACUUCAUAACUGUAAUUGUGCUGUUUUGAAUCAUCAUGUAAAUAUCAGUGUUUUCUGAUGAUCUUAGGGACUCCUGUGAUAGGGUAGUUUGAUACCUCCAAGGGGUCAUAACCCACAGGUUGAGAAACCACUGGCCUAGAGGCUACACAAUUGGUUUUCUUCCUUGGUUCUCCUUGUGUUGGACUAGAUUGGUGCUACUGCUCUGUUGGUGCUGACAAGCAUAACCUGUUCUGUGAUUUCUAGGUUGUCAGUGUUAGUGUGGUCAAGGGAAGCUCUUUUAGUGGCGGUGAAACUGAGCAGGUGACAAGGUAAAGGUUAAUAAUUUCUGACAUUCGCUCAUCAGGGACGUGGCUUCUUCUCAGGCUGAGCAGGUAGACCCAACCCUUCCUUUUACCGUUUGCCAGAUGUCCUCCUCCCCUUGGUGACUCACUUUCCAUGUCAUCUCUGCCUUAUGGCACCUCUUCCCUUCCUUGUCCUUUGGCAGGGCCACUUCAUAGUCACUGCCCUCUCUGUUACCUAUAGACCUUGCUCAGCACACUGUGUACACACUAUUUUAGUUUAUUUAUUCCAUUUUGGAAUCCAGCAUUCUCUGGUUGACCUCUGCUGUGGUUAGGCAUAGGGUAUGAAGUCAGACUGCCUGGGUUUCAACCCAGCUUCCCCAUAAAGAGUUGUAUGACCAUGGAGACGCUCAGUUGUCCCACCUGUCAAACGUGGCCACGAAUCAUUUCCAGUUCAAAGGUUAUGCUGCGGAUGAAAAGCCACUGAAAGCCAGAGAGCAUUGAGCGCAUCAGAGAGCACAGAGUGGGCGCUCAAACAUUAGCUACUCUGUAUGCAUCUGCAGGUUCUGUCCGAUCAAUGAGUGUAGAGGAAGUUAGAGAAGUGGUUCUCCAUGUGUGGGUUGAGACCCCUUUGGGGGUCAAAUGAUUCUUUCAUAGAUAUUCUGCAUAUCAGAUAUUUGCAUUGUGAUUCAUAACAAUAACAAGAUGGCAGUUAUGAAGAAACAAUGAAAAUAACUUUAUGGUUGGGGGUCACCACAACAUGAGGAACUGUACUAAAGGGCUGUAGCAUUAGGCAGGUUGAACUGUACUAAAGGGCUGUAGCAUUAGGCAGGUUGAACUGUAUUAAAGGGCUGUAGCAUUAGGCAGGUUGAACUGUAUUAAAGGGCUGUAGCAUUAGGCAGGUUGAACUGUAUUAAAGGGCUGUAGCAUUAGGCAGGUUGAACUGUGUUAAAGGGCUGUAGCAUUAGGCGGGUUGAACUGUAUUAAAGGGCUGUAGCAUUAGGCGGGUUGAACUGUAUUAAAGGGCUGUAGCAUUAGGCAGGUUGAACUGUAUUAAAGGGCUGUAGCAUUAGGCAGGUUGAACUGUAUUAAAGGGCUGUAGCAUUAGGCAGGUUGAACUGUAUUAAAGGGCUGUAGCAUUAGGCAGGUUGAACUGUAUUAAAGGGCUGUAGCAUUAGGCGGGUUGAACUGUAUUAAAGGGCUGUAGCAUUAGGCGGGUUGAACUGUACUAAAGGGCUGUAGCAUUAGGCAGGUUGAACUGUAUUAAAGGGCUGUAGCAUUAGGCGGGUUGAACUGUAUUAAAGGGCUGUAGCAUUAGGCAGGUUGAACUGUACUAAAGGGCUGUAGCAUUAGGCAGGUUGAACUGUAUUAAAGGGCUGUAGCAUUAGGCAGGUUGAAAAGCCAUUGGUCAGAGGGGAAAGAGAGGAAGCAAGCGCUGGCUGAACAAAGCAAAGAAGAACGACUGCACGGCUGAUGAACGGAACAGGUCGUGCAAACACAGAUCUCAGAACAGGCCCCAGAAGUACCUUAAGUAUUUUGCCGGUAGCUUGGUUUUGCAAGGUCUUGUUUUGAGGUUGGGGUGUCUGUGCCUGUGAAGGACCUCUUUUCUGCAAAUAUAAGCAGGGAUUUGAGAGGUGUGUCCACAUCGAGGGUAUAAUUUCCUUUGAUGGUUGUUCCUCCAGAAAUAAGGUACAGGUGAGCAGAUGAAUAUAGGAAGGCAGAGGACCAGAGGAGGUGGGUGGGGAAGGGGCUUUCCAAGCCCUCCAGGCCCUUUUCUGAAAGCCGAGCAACAGUGCUGGGCUUAUGAAACGGGUUGCAGGCUUCUAAGAGCAGCCUGAGACUCCGUGCUGCUGCAGGACAGGUAUCUGCCAUCUGACCUUGGAGCACACUGUUCUACAUCCCGUCUGCCCAGGUGUGUGACCUUCCUACCCCCUGGAAUGUGGCCCACCAGAGAUACAAUCAGCAGAAUUCCUCUGGCUCCCCAAGAAAUGCCCCUUUGGGAGACAAAAAAAGUCUAAACAAGCUGGAAAAAAAUGUGAACGGGUCCCCGUUUCUGCCUGAACAAUUGUCCCGUUAUUGUGACUAUGCCCAAUAAGGAGGGCGAGCGAUCAGAUAACACAUUUGCCAGAAGCCGUCCGUGGGGCACAUCUGAGGUGGGCCUGUCAGCAUCCUCAGCUCCGCUGCUUGGGCUUCUGUCCCUCUGUGUUGUGCUAUGUCACAUCUAGUAAACUGUAUGCAGUGCAGACUGUCAGAGUUGAAAAUAUGUAGCCAGGGUCACACGGUGUGGGGAACGGGAUAGAGAACCCGGUGCUGAAAGGGAAUCGCCUGUGCACAUCAGUAUUUAUUCACCUUCUGGUUCGAUGCCGUGAAGACAUCUCCACUAAGUCUGGUCUCAGAAAUCAAAUCCUGCCUCUGCCAGGAGAAAAAGACUUCGUGCAUCUAUUAGGAGAAGAUUCACAUCUGAUUUUGUGUACGAUGUGGGCGGCCGUCCACAUGCAUUUGAGGUUUGGGCAGAGGGUACCCCUGUUUAAAAAGAUGAGGUGCUUUCUACCCAGAUAGACACUUAGCCAUUUGGCUCUAUGGACGUUCUUCCUACAUGAAUCUGUGGCUGAAUAAUGACUCAAAGCGUGCAUGGAUCCAUGGAUGGGGAGGGAACUCUCCAAAGCAAACAAAGCCAACCCCGGCCCUGGCGCUGCCCGCUGGAUGCCACUUUCCUUUUGCUGGGCUCACUCCUCUGAAGGGGUCUCUCAAAUGAGGGGGAAACACCUGUCAAGUAUAUUUUUCUUUUAAGAAAAAAAUAAAUUUAGGAGCGUUUUGAAUGGCUCUGGCUUGGGCCCCACAGGGUCCCGCUUAUACUUUGUAAGCUCUCUGGCCUUGGCAGCCCCCGGAUUUUCAGCUGCCACGAAGCAGGGUGGAAAACAUCCUUGAUCCUCCAAGUUGUGACUCGGGGACGGGGUGCGGGGGGAAGGUUUGUACCAAGCGAAGCACAGCUGAGGAAUUGUAUCUGGGGAAAGCUGAGGAGCUUCAGAGCAAGCUAUAAUGUGCCAUUGUCAACCAAACGGCCACCCCAGUACCAGGUGUCCCACUACUACAUGAAAUAAUUUUCAUUCCCUCAAAACAAAGGUUAAGGUGUGCCAAUACAUUAAAAAUAAUAAUAAUACAUAUACAUUUAACAGUAGAAUUGUUCUCCCUGUUUCUUUCUUGUCGUCCUUCCUUUCUUUCUUCCCCUCCUUUUCUUCUGUCUGCCCAUAUAAUAGUCCUCCAUCCAUCCAUCCAUCCAUCCAUCCAUCCAUCCAUCCAUCCAUCCGUCGCUUAUUCUUUGAUGGAUGAACUGUUUCACACUUUAAUAGCUCAUCUCAAAGGGCCUGACCAAGGGAGGGACAAAAGUGAAGGAGUCAGUUCCUUGGCCUGAUACACGGGACACAGGCACAUGCUCUAGGGCAAGGAGCUAAGUAGUAGUGCUUCAACAUUGGUUUCAGGUGCCAAGCCAUAGCAGCCCCAUGGAAGUGAUCUCAGCUGUGUCAGCAUUGUAGCCGUGCACGCUCUCAGGGAAAUAGUCCACCCAAACCAUCAGGUUUGUGGGGCAUGAAUGAUACACUAAUUCUGUCUGACCUGCCUACACUCUGACUCUUCCCCCUUCACAAUAGUACAGCACUGUGGAGUAGUGGAAAAACAAACAAAAAAACAGGGACUUGGAGUUCUAUUUUCCCAAUAUAAAUUGCAGCUCCGCCUAGGAGCAGCUAAAGAAAUACUUAAUGUGGACAUGAAAGAAAUGCUGUUUCUGCUACUUCGCUAAGUUAAUGAAGAGACUAAUUGUAGUAGUGGUAUAGGUGUGUGUGGAGCAGUGGCCAUGGCAAGGCUCUGAAAUACUCACGAUCAUUUCUUCUAUGGCAUGACACCUGGAGAUAUCCCUGAAGCAACCAAUGAUAUGUUGCUUCGAAAGCAGGACACCAAGAGACAGCACAUUGUGGCUUUGAACAAAGGUCUGUCUAGUAAAUAAAGGUAUGUCAGGUUAUAGCCACGCCCAUCCAUUUGCAUAUCUGGGCUGCUUUCCAGCCAUUGGGCCCCAACUGAGUAGCCAUGACACAGCUUCCACCUGCUGGUCUGCAAAGCUUAGAAUGUUUACUGUCAGCACUUUAUGGGAAAGCAUUCCCCAUUCCCUGAUGUAAACAAUCAGAAAACAGAAUAACAUGUAACGUACUCCAGAGAAAGACCCUGCACGAGGAGGCAUGCAUAGGAUGUUUAUUACGUCAUUAUUCGCCUCUCAAGUAGCUGGAGACAAUCUAAAUAUUAAUCAGAAGAGGAAAGCUGUGGCAGUGGCAAAGAAUACAUUCUGUCUACAGGGAGUAAUGAAGAAAAAUCUCCAGUAGAGACUAUUGUGUGGGGGGCGGGGAGCAGGGGUGUUCCCAUUUGUGUAUGACACGUGAAACAUGCCGUAUAUCUCCUACCAUGUUGCCAUUUGUGUAAGACACGUGAAACAUGCCGUAUAUCUCCUACCAUGUUGCCAUUUGUGUAAGACACGUGAAACAUGCCGUAUAUCUCCUACCAUGUUGCCAUUUGUGUAAGACACGUGAAACAUAUCAUAUAUCUCCUACCAUGUUCCCAUUUGUGUAAGACACGUGAAACAUGCCGUAUAUCUCCUACUAGGUCAUGUGUAAAUAUACUGACGCAGAGAAAGGACUCAGAAAAAAAAAAAAACAUACUCAAAAUAUAGAUAACCGUGCUUGUCCUGAGGGAGAGAAGGUCAGAGGAUUUUUGCAGUAAACUCCAGUCCUAUCUGAACUGUGUUUACAGCAUGUGUUAGAACCAGGAAAAUUUAUUUGUAUGUCUUGUUUCAUCAAAACUGAUUACAAAAACAUUGUAACUAACACAUAGGAGACCUGGACAGACUACUGAAGGAUGGACAUGGUUCUCACAGUUGGGAGGAGGGAGGAAGGAGCAUGAUUUAAGUAAAGCAGUGAGGGCUGGAGAGACAGUGGCGACCCAGCACAAGGAAGGCAUGGGCUGUUGUAGUCGCAGUGUGAAGACAGUGUGGGGAGGCAACUCAUGAUCCUGGCAGGAAGUCAUUUAUUACAGUGGAGGGAGCUGGGAGGAAUUAGUGUUGCAAAUGAUAUCACAAGGGGCCAGGUCUAAGAGAGGCAGCAGGUGGGGAGGUCACAGUCGCCUGGACUAGGAGAACCAGUCUAUCUGCAUGGUCAGACUGGUGUGGGGGAAUUGCUCUUAUUCUCUGCAGUUUCUCUGCCCUUUAAUGUUUUCAUUUCUUCCUACAGUGCCCAGACAAAAGGGGUACCAGGAAGCAUGGGCCUCUCACAGGUUCCAAAGCAGUCAGAUUUAGUUUGGGAUUUGGUGUCUAACAUUGAGGGACAUGCCAUGCGUGCUUUCAAAAUCUCUCUCGCUGCAUGCAAGAGUGCUGGUCAGAUGUGGUCUGUGGCAAUAUUAGUCAGCACUCCUAUUUUUAACAAUGGGAAAUCAAUUGGAAGGAAAAUGUACUUCCUAGUAGGAUUAGCAGUUAUACAAUAAAAACAAAGAAGUGGAGUGCUGUUUGAGAUGGGUGGGCUCUAGGUGUGAACACUCAGCCAAACCAGGAAGGGAGAAUGGUGGUAAAGGCCAGCCUGAGCUACCAUUUAAGUACCAGGCCAGCUCGCCUAUACCCUAUCUAAAAUGCAGAGAGGGACAGGCCUGGAAGUUUAGACAAUCCCAGCUACUGCAGAGGCUGAAGUAGGGAGAUCGAGAGUUCAAGGACUGCCUGGACCAUACAAUGAAUCCAAGGCCAGCCUAAGCUACUUGGCAAAGCUGCAGCCUCAAAAGUGCAUAGUAUAAAAUGCAAUAGUGCAUAGAGGUCAGUGGUCAAAUGUGUGCCUAGGGUACAUAAGGCCCAAGGUCAGUCCCUGUCUUACAAAGUAAAGUUGGAAGCUGCAGAGAGUAGUUUUCCUGUCUUCAUCUGUCCUUUGCCAGACGGUGUUACUUCUGCCCCUCCCUAGGAUGAUCCCUGUGGCUUAAAUGUCAGGAUUAAGUCAUUGUACCUUUGGGUCCAGGGGUCUGUUGGCGGACUGUGGCCAUGUGCACUAGGCAGUACAGUUUAGACUUUGCAGGACAUGUGGUCUCUGUCCUUACUCCAAUUCCUCUGUGGGUAUAUGAGUCCAGUCAACAUGGCACGGGUGGCCCUUUGUAUCUAAGACCCACAUCUACUGAUUUAGCCACCUCUGCAUUGAAAAUCUUAAAAAUAAAAAUCCAAAAAAGCAGAAUUUAAGUUUGCCAUGUGCCAAACUCUGUGUACAGCCACGUGCAUCAAGUGACAUGUGGGCCUGUCCUGCUACAUCACAGACCCUCAGUCUCUCCAGGGCUCCUUAUUUGAGCCUUGACCCCUCUGUCUAUCGUGCAUGGUAUAGUUAGACGUGCAGUACCUCUAUACGGAGUCAGCACAAACUUUCUUGCUAUUAUUCCCUAUGCAAUAUGGCACAACUGUUUACAUAGCAUUUAAAUUGCAUUAGUUAUCACAUCAGAGAUGAUUUAAAGUGAAUGGCAGGCUGUGUGGGGGUUAUGCGGUAUGUAUGCCACUUUAUAAAAGGUCUCAAGCCCCCUCACCUUUCAGUAUCUCCGGGAGUCUUCUAUGUAAAUUAGCAGACAAGGUUUCUUUCUGAGAAAACAGUGCCAAGCUGGACUUAGUCAUAGGUUUGAAAACCUCUACCCUAAACGCAAAGAUUCUGCCUACCCUGCUAUGUCAAGUCUGUUGUCUCCAGAUCUGCAUAGUGUUUGAGGUGGUGGAGCGAUUGGUUAGGACAAGUGCUUUGAAAAACAGUUUGGGUCUGGAUUCCGGCACAAAGCCAAUCUCUCUUACGUCAUACAAGUGAUUCAAUGUCAUGAGCCUCCGUGCUGGCUGGCACUGCUUUCCAAUACCCAGGCUGGUGUGUCUAACAGCUGAGUCUAGGUCAUGUGACUAUUUCCUAGCUGCAAGGGAGGCUGGAAAAGUGCCCAUCUAGUUUUUAAUGUUUUAACAAAUUAUUUUAAAUCUCUCUCUCUCUCUCUCUCUCUCUGUGUGUGUGUGUGUGUGUGUGUGUGUGUGUGUAUGUGUGUGUGUAUAGGUAGGCACAUAGGAUAGGUAGCAUAUACACGUGACCACAGGUAGCCGUAGAGAUCAGAUUAGCAUUAGAUUCUUCUGAAGCCAAAGUGAGCUGCCUGACGUGGCUGUUGAGGACCAAACUUGGGUCUCCUGUUAAAAUCCUUCCUGGUCCCAUUUUGGAUUAUUCAGUGGCUUUUCUCUGGCACUAAAUAAAAAUGAUGAAAAUGGAACAGGCCAGGACAGAGCAGGGCAGGGCAGGACAGGGCAGGAUGGUCUAUUUGGCCUAUCCUACAGAUGACGCCAUUCCUCGUGACUGGUUCCCCUGGCCUUAACAACUACUGCAUCUCCCUGAGGUUACCAGCCCCACCCACUGUGGAGUCACAUUUCUGGAUCAUUCAUUGAGCUCUCUGGAAUGUGUUACCAACCUGGGCCAUCAGCUCAGACACUGUGCCUUCCAGUAGGCCCUCAGUCUGUCCCACACCAUCUGUGUGCAGCCUUUAAAUUCAUCCUGCGUACUGAGUGACAACUAAUUAUCAGGCCAACCCAGCCUUGCCUUAGGCGUGGCCCACGUCUGCUCUGCCCUGUGGAAAAGAGAACUGGGCAAGGCAUAGUGCUGAGGGAGCCACAGCCUCCAUCAAGUCCGCUCUCCUUGUCACUUCCCUAUGGUCUCCCUGGAAACUAAUCCCAUCCCUCUUGACCAGGCUGCCUGCUUCUGUGAUUGUCAAGGUAGCUUAUCCCCUCGUUAAUUAACUGCUCAGGAAAAUGCUGUAAGACACUGAGCUGUUUAGCUUCCAGCUUGUUAAUGCAGGGGACUAUGGAAGAACUUUGACCUGGCUGGCCCACUGCUUCGUGAGUUGUGUGACUCGAGAGAAGCCAGAUGGAAGAACCCUUUUGUUUUCUGGGGCUUACCAUUAUGUCUAAAGGUCACAGACUAAAUGGAAAGGAAGAGUGGGACCAGCAAUGCUGUUGGGAGGCGGAGCAGAGGACAUGUGUCCUUUGCCAAGCCUUGGCUAAAAGGCUGGUUUAUAGAGGAGAGAUGAGCAGGAUUAAGCUGAUGGCUGAAAACAUGAUAAUUUGUUUGCAUUUGUAGAGAGAUUUUAUACUUUAUGUGUUCGUGUCAGCAUAUGUGUGCACUCGUGUGGACAUCUGCACAAAGGCUAGUACGGGACAUCGGAUUUCCCCGGAGCAGGAUUACAGAUGUAUACAAGCCGACUGAAAGCGUGGCGAGGCCCAAACUCUGGUCCUCUGCAAGAGCAAUAAGCACUCUUAACUGCCGAGCCCUUUCUUCAGCCCUUUAUUUGGACAACACCUGAAAUAAGAAAUAAACUCUUUGCCAGUGGGUCUGCUGAGAGAUGAAGAAUCAUGUCUCCUAGAUGUAGUCCCUCCCUCAAGGAGAUCAGCGGUGGGACACACAAGGUAGCACCAUGGUUUGCCUCAGCAUUAAGGGACAGUGGGCCUCUAGGGGGUCACAGUGGAGGGUGCCAUUUGCUUCUUGUGCAAACCUGUAGCUAUCCCUCUGGAGUCUCUAGGAGAGAAUUUGUUCCUCACUUCUUUCAGGGUCUGGGGCCGUGAGCAUCACCUCAUGGCCUGUGGCUACGCCGAUUCAGUCUGUCUUGUUCUUGCUUCAGAACACAUUUGCAUAUGUGCGUCUCCUCUCUAAUGAUCACACACAAGACAGCCCCCCAGCAUCCAUCCAGAAAUGCAGGGAGAAGCAGCCCCUCUUGAACAGUUAAGCCAUCGGUUCUCAACCUGUAGGUCGAGACCCCCAUGGGGUCACAUCCCAGACAUCCUGACUAUCAAGUAUUUACAUUACGAUUCAUAACAGUAGCAAAAUUACAGCUGUGAGGUAGUAAUGAAAAUAGUUGUAUGGCCAGGUGUCACCUGAACAAUGAGGAUGUGUAUUCAAGGAUCACAGCGUUAGGAAAGAAGGAAAGAAGAGACCCACUGCCCGUGGUAAUCACAUCUUUUAUGAGCUAAGGUAAAUAACAUUUACUCUUUGGUCAAGUAAGGUCAUAGUCAGAGGUUCUGAGGAUUAGGGGUUGCACGUAGCUUUAGGGGCCAUUUUCUGCCUGUAAAGAUUUCCAGUUCCGUCUGGAAGUGCAGAUAGAGAAAGCGUCCUGGAGGAACUGCUGGCUCGCUACCUCUUAGCUUACCUUCCAGCCCAUUGUCUGAUCCUUCACUGUUCCUCUAUGUGUAGGCAACCCACCACCCAAGUGAAUACAGGGAAUCAAGCCAUGGAAAUGCACUUUUAGAUGGCCAGUCCUGACGGUGUCACCUUUGAGGUAAUCUGAGAGUUCAGGCAGGAGGUCUCUGCUCAGGCCUUUAGCAGACAGCAUGUGCAGGAUUCCUGAUGUCGGAUGGAGCUCUCAAGGACGUGCAGAGUCAGGAAGGACCUUGAACCCAGAGGUGACCAGCAAGGAGGAAGAUGGAGAAGACACAGCCUGUGUGUGGGAAGUGACAACAGAGGUCUUUAGCCCUUAUCACUGAGCCAAAGUACAAGGUUGACUGAGCCACAACCUAGACAGACAGACAGACAUGUUCCAAAUGCUGAGCCUGUGGAUUCCCUCAGCAUCUCGGAGGAAGGGAGCGGUAUCUGUGUCCUCAGAAUGCCCUGGAGAUGCUUGUGCAAGUACAGGAGGAGCAGGCAGGGCACACAGUCUGGAUUCUUUGAAAGAAGUCCUGGUUGUUUAUGUGAUUAUCACCCCCCCCCCCCCCCCCCCCGCUGCAUCCCUCUGACAGGUCUUGCUCACUCUUGAGUGAGCCAGAAAUUCCCAGUUCAGAAGUGCUGUUGCCAUGGGAAGGGGUUUUGUACUGUGAUUUCUUUGUCUUUAUCUUUUGGUUUUAUUAUCACUUCUGUUAUAUUUCUAAAAAUAACUUCUCCUAAGAAUAAACUUGGACUGGGGGGUUAGAGAACAUCACAGCCUUUUCCCAGUAGCCUGCAGGGCCCUAGGCAGCGGGUAUCACAUUGUAUCUUCCUAAAACCCUGCUGUGCCCCAUGCAGCUGGCAAAGAUGGGUAAGCACAGGUGGGCAGGCUUGUCUUACCUUUCAUGGCAGCCACAGCACCUCACAAACUGGCCCCUGCCUUCUCCAACCAACACAACUUUGUUUCCUGUAUCGGAGAAUCAAGGAGUCUGCCCAUAAAAGAGUGACGUGGUAGGUCCCCCAAGGACACAGUCAUUAGUGUUGUCCUCUAAGGGUUCCCUUGACUUCUGACCUCGAAACCCGCACCUUUCCAAAGCAAGGGAAGCCCUGGCCUAUAGUAUUCUAGACAGACAUGGAGAAGAAACACAGAGAACAAGGGCAGUGGGGUGGGAUGUCAAAGUAGACCUCAACAUGCUAUCCUAGGGAAAUGUCUGAUUUCUCCCAUUCAUAAAUACUAAACUCUACUUGACUGUCACAGGUUAUAAUCUUCUGUGUAAAGUAUUUGAAAAUCAGAAAGCAUAAAAGAAACUAGAAAAAAAGAAUGACUCGUGAUGUCAUCAAUCACUAUCCAUAUUUUGUUCCAUAUUCAGUUACUAGCCUUAAUUAAUUCUGUUACAAACACCUAUGUUGUUUCUGUCUUUUCUUUUCAUUAUAACCAGGAUCAUGGUGACAUGUUACUUUAAGUGUUCUGAAAAUAGUGUGUUUGGUCUCAUAGUAUUCCCCAGGGUGACUAUGGUUUACCUACCAACCCUUCCUAUUGGCCUGGCAGGUAGAUCCUGAAUGUCUAAGGUAUCAAGCCAUCCUAGAUGCCCAGACUCCCAGAGCAGGUACAUGACAGACCACAGGUUCUUUCCCUGCAUCCUUCGCAGGUGGUGUAGCUCUAGAAACCAGUGGCAGGUAUUAGAGAUUUAGCCCAGGAAGUGGGGGCAACUCUCGCAACCAAGUCUCAAACUCUAAGGACUUGUCAGUAAGCAGGCCAACCCCUUUAGAACUUCCGGUCAGAUGUGUGGCACAAUCGUCAUCUCUUUGGCUCUUACUCAUCCCUUCCCUAGCCAAUCCACUUAGAGACAGUUUCUCAAACUCUGUGGGAAAGGGGCCAUGCAUUUUAGUUUAGUUUUUGAAAAAGACAAAAUAACAUGCUAAGAGGGCGUGGGAUGUCAGACUUGUACAUAUUUAUUCAAUUUCCCAGCUGUUGACUCUCACUACUGGCUGAGAUCAGCUCAUUCCGAUCUCAGUUCUGGUCCACAGACCGCAUUCUGAGUGUGCUGACCUACAGAGCUUCCCUGGCACUGAAGAGUUUCUGCCUGUGGAAUCUUCUCCAUCACACCAUCCACCGACUAAAGACUCUUCUGGUAGACACCGCUUGAGAGCAGUGAGCGUGUGCUACCUGGUACUGAUAUGACAUUCAGAAAGUUCUGGAUGAAAGUCUCAUACCUUUGAAUAAAGGAUACUCAGCUGAUGAUGUUUGCAAGGAUUGUAAAAUAUAUUUUUAAAAACUUAAGAGUCUGAAACAUGUCUGAAUUCAAGUACUCCUCAAGAGUCAGCUAAUGGUAAUAAAAUUAGCACUAGGGUCUUAAUCUUUGUGGUGGCUUGAAUAUACUUGACUGAGGGAGUGGCACUGUUAGGAGGUAUGGCCUUCUAGGAGGAAGUGGCUUUAAGACCCUCAUCCUAGCUGACUGGAAGCCAGUCUUCUAGCAGCCUUCAGAUGAAGAUGUAGAACUCUCAGCUCCUCCUGCACCAUGCCUGCCUGGAUGCUGCCAUGUUCCUGCCUUGAUGAUAAUGGAUUGAACCUCUGGACCUGUAAGCCUGCCCCCAUUAAAUGUUGUCCUUAUAAGAGUUGCUUUGGUCAUGGUGUCUGUUCACAGCAGUAAAACCCUAACUAAGACAAUCUUUGUCCUUAUUUCUCAUCAGAAUGGACACCCAGAAGGCCAAUUAAGAAUAAAGGACUUGGGUGGCAAGAUUUUAAUCCCAACAUUCAGGAGGCAGAAGCAGGUGGAUCUCUGAGUUCCAGGCUAUCCUGGUCUACAGAGCAAGAUCCAGGACAGUCAGGACUAAGCAGAGAAACUCGAUAAUGAAAAAUCAAAAAGAAGAGAAAUAGGAGGAGGAAGAAAGAUGUGGCUAUUCUUCAGGCCCUUGAUACCACUAAGCAAACCCCUUUCAGACCGCUGGUGCCAGUUUUGAUUGCACCAACAGGCACUGAAAGGUCCGGCUUUAUUGGCCCCCUGCUAACACUGACAUCCAUUUAAUGAUUUUUUUUUUUUAAGAACACUUUGCAGUCCUAGUACUUUAUGUCUUUUGUACACUAGGCCAUGAAUUCCUAUGAACCGGGCUCCAGCAGCUCCGGCUCUUUUCCGUUAGUCCUCACAAAGUGUGCUUCUCUGGGUGGCACAGGCAGGUGCUUCAGCUGAACCCAGGCACCCUUCUCCUUGGCUUCCUUUUUCUUCCGGUCGUUCUCCUUCACCCACUUCAGGAAGCUGUCUCUGCUCUUUGAGUGCUCGAUGUGCUCAGUCCGCACAUUGAUCCUCUUGGCCAGAAUUUUGCCCUUACCUUGCUUUUUUACAAUGAUGCCCACGGUAUGCUGGGUGACAUUGUAGACUCUUCCAGUUUUGCCGUGGUAGCACUUAUGGGGCAUUCCUUUCUGAACAGUGCCCAUUCCCUUGAUGUCUAUAAUAUCACCCUCUUGUAGAUUCGCAUGUAUGUGGCCAAAGGAACAACUCCAUGUUUCCUAAAAGGCCUAGAGAUCAUAUACCGGGUGCCUCUCCUCUUUCCCUUUGUAGUUCAUCAUUUUGGCGAGUUACUGGAAGAUGUCUGCAGAGGCCAAAAAAGCUAAUGAUUUUUUUUUUUAAUUCCAUCCUUGUUCUAUGGAUGUCAAAAAGAAAGGCCAUCUCAGUGUCUUUCUCAUUCGCACUUCUGGUCAGGCUGAGUACAUGUCAUGUGAUCAUUUUGAGAAUGGAUUUUCAGGCUCAGAGGGAAGAAAGACCUAGAGGGAAGUCUCUCUCUGGGGCUACAUUCCAGAGCCAGUACCUUCAAGGCCCUGUAGCCUGAGAGGAGUCUGCUGAUGAGUGUCAGAGCCUUUCCAUAGAGCCAUCCAAGAAGCCAGCAAAUGUUAAGACCCUGUGACUGUCCUUCCAGGUCCUGUGCAUAUAUGGAGGCCAGAAGAAGGUGUCAAAUCCCUCUUAGCUGGAGUCACAAGCUUUGCAGGGUACCUGGCGUGUGAUGUGGGUUCUAGGGUGGGACCCCUAGUCCUCACGAUUAUGCAGCAAGCAACUUUUAACCAUCAAGCCAUCUCUCCAGACCCUGGUUUUGUUUCUCUCUGUUUGUUUAGUUGUUGUUUAUUGAACAAGGUUUUAUUCCUUAGCCCAAGCUGGCCUUGAACUUGUAGCAACCCCCCUGCCUCUGCCUCGUUUAAGAGGUAUGGUGGUAUUUAUUUUAUUUAUUUAUUUACCAUUUAUGCUGGUAUUACAAGCUUGACCUGCCUUACCCAGCUUCUUACAUGUUUUCUUUGUAGCAAAAUGAGGGGCUUGGCUAGUGAAGCCUCUAAGUUUUUGUUCGGUGGCCUUAACCAUUAUGGGGUGGGGGCAGGGCAGGGAUGAACAUUGAUUGUAGCAGAGCCUCCUGCUUCAGAAGCUGCGGCUGGCAACGUACCUGCUGUGGGAGGGACUCCAACCUCUGAGGAUGCUUUGGGCUUCUUCUGGAAGUAAGGUCUUGAGAGCUUUCAGAUGUGGUAGGGCUGAGGCAGCUGGAGGGCAACGGCCUGAGAGCAAAUUUGGAGAGAGAGCGAGGGCUCCAGGAAGCUGCACAGAACACCCUGCCAUUUCUGCAGAUUGUUUGACCCUGACCUUUAUCCAGCUGAAUUUUCACAGAAGGGACUUUCUGCAGACUGUCACUGCCCCAAAAUCCAAGAAGUUGCCCCCCAAUUGGUACUGGAUAGAUACUUGCCUAGUCUUCUGGGGUUCCUUUAAAGAUGCCACUAGCUUGAUAGAAUGGGUGGCAGUGAUGGGUUGGAUGCCAGGGAGUUUCAGAGUCAUAUUAGUAACCAUAUCUCCGUAUCAUUAGAUUUCACUUAGGCUUAAACAGGAGUUGGUGGAGUUGUUGUGGAUCUGGGCAUUGAAAAAACCUUUAUACUCUGCAGAUUAUCUCUCAGUAGUGCAAGACCAGAGAAAGGAGAGAGAGAAAAAAACCAAAAAACCCUUUUGCCCUGUUUAUUGUUGUUACUUGAAGUGGUGAUUUCAGAUGGGAUUAAUUGCCCAUUGCAAAGGCUUGCAUUUUAUGGUCCAGGUCUCUUCUCACCCAUUAGGUGAGAAGAUGUUAAAGAACAAGCUGUAGGGGGUGCAGACAACCUCAAAGGCAGUGAGCUUGCUCCACAGAGAUGCUGAGUGUGUGUGUGUGUGGUGUGUGUGUGUGUGUGUGUGUGUGUGUGUGUGUGUGUGUGUGUGUUUAUGUGUGUGCGAGGCUCGAGAGCCCAUCCAGGUGACCUGCCCUAGCUCCAAGUGACAGCUGGUGUUUGCCCAGGGUCCCAGGAAGCCUGGGUAGAAGUAGAAGUAAAGAAAUCAAAGAACUGGGCUCGCAGGAUAACUGGGCUCUCAGGAGAACCAGGGCUCUCCGUGGAUGGCAAUCCAGGAGAGUGGGUCUCCGAAGCCAGGAGAAAUCCGAUCUGUGUUGAGUUUGGAAACAGAUCACAGCAGCCCAGAGUUGCUGGCUAGAGGUUAGCUGCUUCUGCUGGGCUCUCCAGUAACACAAGUAGGUGCAGCUGGGCAGGGGCAACAGAGAGAACUGGGCUCCUCCAACCAACAGGGAGCUUUUGUAAAUACUAAAAAAAAAAAAAAAAGGACCUUUCCACCCAGGGGAGGCCAAUUUAGCUGGCUUUCUUUCCAGUGCUUUACCCUAAAGAGGUCAGAUUCGAUGCCCUGGGCCCUGAGACAGAGGGCAGCCCUGCUCAGUCCAGAGCAACUUGAUCUUGCACGUAUGGAGGCCCAGCGAUAAAUACAGCUUCUGCUAAUUUUGUAGAAGAUGUGUGUGUGUGUGUGUGUGUGUGUGAUUUCCCAUUUGAAAAUGGAAGCUCAGACCCAAGUUUUUGUUUCCCAUGAAUAUCACUGGAGUCGAAGGCAUGAGUGAGCAAAAGGCUGUGGGUUUGUAGAUCCCACACUGGAACAUGAAGGAGUCUCCCUUCACCUCCCCACACUUGAACAAGUGAUGGAGGGACCCAGGGCUCUUUUCUUUGCUCACAUUCCCAUGAGCCCAUUUCUGAGAAGUGUUGAAUCUGGAAGAUGUUCAGAUUAGCCAGCUGAUCUCCUGAAGUAAGGAAGAGCUAACCAUGGAAGGUGGCUCUAUACCUCAGGCAGGUAUUUUAAAAGACCAAUCUUGAGGUUUCCCUAUGUCAUUGCCCACCAGACUGGAAGAUUCUGGGUCAGUGGGCCCCUGGGUGUCACCACUGGGGAAGAGCAGGAUAGGUUUCAGAAGACUGUGGCAAUUCAAAUCCUGAGACUGUUAUCCAGGCAGCAUCUGUCCGGAGGCUUGUGGUAGCUGCAGCCUCAGACCCUGUUUGGGCUUCCCUGCUGAGCCUGAAUUGAGUGCAUAUAGAAGGCUCAUUAAACUCUGAACUGACAAACACGCAUCCUGCAGAGGGGCCCUUUGAAGAGUAGGAGAUCACAGGGACGAUUUCCUGUUUGCCAGUUUGCUGCCUCAGAUCUCACCAUUUCUGCUCCUGUUAAGUUUUACUAAGGCUCUCAGAUGGUACUCAGCACCCAGCACCUUUUGCUACAAGUGCUAAGCCUAUGCAGGUGGCAUUUCCUCUUUCUCAGCUACCUCACUGUGCAGGUGUGUGGUGGGGAGGGACAGGGUAAGUAGUAAAGCUUUGGGGGUGGGGUGGGGUAGGGUGGGGUCCCAGCUAGCCCAGAAUCUUUCCCUUCAGCUCCAUUCUAUUGAGAAUAGAGAGCCGUCCUUCCACUACUGUAUACAUGCUGCGUAUGUGUCAAAGUUGGCAAGAAUAUUUGUCUGGCAAUGCAGAUACACCUAGAGCUGGUUCUCCUUGUCCUUGGCCUCUCUGUAUUCAUCAGCCAUCUAUGGGCUGCAGAUAUUGAAGAGGAGAGCUGUGUCUCUACUGAAUAUGUCCAUGCUUUUCCUGUCAUCAUUCCCUAAGCAUGCAGCAUACAAUUGUUACGUAUGGAGUGUUAACUAUCAUAAAUCAUCCAGGUAUCUCUUACAGUCUGCAGGAAGUCAGUGGCUUUCAUACAUUAUACUGUUUCACAGAGGGAAAGUGAGUAUCCUAGAACCAGCCACCCAUGCAUAUCAAGGAAAGACUGUAAUUAGAUGUGGAAUAAACCUUCUUGGUUGGUUUGGAACCCGUGAUUGUCCUGUCCCUCCACUCGGGUGUCUGGUUGGGUCUCAAAUAACACUGAAGGUCAGUACUUCUCAUCAGCAGUUGAGGAAACCCAAGCUCCCAUUUUUGGAUGUUCUGUCAAGCCUUUAACACAAUCAAUAUGUCUGAUUCUCUGGUCCUUUUAUUUGUUUUGGAGCAGUAAGAACAACUGCUAAAUUCAAAUUGUGCCUUUGGCCAGUGAUGGGUUUAUGGGUAUGGUUUCACUACCAAGAGAGCUACUUACCUAGAGUUCCUGAUGUAAGGUAUUGUUGUAGUGGAAAACACCACCACAUCUCUGUCACUAUUACAUGUUCAUUUCAUGGUUUUCAGGUUCUAUACUGGACCAGUCUCUGACAAGGAGGAGUCACUGUGAUUCUCUUAGUCGUGACAGUCAUUUUUUUCUCUAUCCUGUUGGCAGGAUGGGUCAGAAUGAGACCAAGUACACAAAUGUUCUGUAGGCAUUUGCCCUCGCUAGUAGAGUGAUGGGUUUGCUGUCCUUCAGUGAACUGACUCAGUACUCUGAGAAAUACGUGAGGCUUGCAGUGUUAAAGAACUGGUUUCUGUGGGACAGAGAUAGCUCAGUAGAAAAGAGUACUUGCUGCUCAGAGCCUGACUCUCAGAACCCAUGUUGGCUCAAAACCACCUGUAACUCCAACUCAGCAGGACAUAGUGCUCUCUUGUGGCCUUGUGAACACACACACAUACACACACACUAAAAUGAGUCUUCAAAAAUGCGGCCACUUCAACAUCUUUUUUAACUGGAUGCUUAACAGAAACAAAGGACAAAGGAAAACAGGAGAGCUAGAAAACAUGAAGGUUGAACACUGACCAUAGAAAACAUUAGUUUGUUUUGCUGUCAUGGCAACAAGCUCUGGUACCACAGUGAAGGACACUUACUGUGUUGUAUAGCACACAUUCCUUUGCCUCUCCCAGCUUUGUUUUGUUCAUCUACAGAAUGGAUGCUGCUUGUGUUAAGGGAGUAAUGGGGAGGUAUCUGCCUCCUGUGCAGUCCUGUCAGUGGCAAAAUAUCUGGGGCCCUGGGCUCACAGCUUGCACCAAUGUUGGCUUGGUGAUGGGGUUAAUCUGAGAAAAUCCCUCAGCUCCUCUGAGCUCUAUUUAAUUUUCUCACGUGGACUGAUAAUGUUUCCUUGUCAUUAUGAAGAAUAAGACAGUGCAGGACCGAGAGAAAAAGAGUAUGGCCUGUCCCCCAAAUGAAAACUUGCUAUCCUGAGGCACUCUGAACUGCUUUGAACAUGGGUCUACCCAGAGCCAUGUUAGCAUCGUGCUUGCAGCAGCCCAGGCUGCUUGCCUGCUGGUAAGUGUGGCGAACAGAUCAUUUAAAGACUUGUGCUUUUCAAGAGUGUCAGGUCCCUCUCCUCCAGGAAGAUCCACAUGUGUAACUGACCCCAAGCUCCCAGAUGCUCCAACACAUGCCACCAAAACCCCAGGACAAGGCCCAGGUUAGCCAUGGUGGAAGAUACAUGACACAUAUGAGGACCCUGGCUGAUGCUUCCUCACAGCUCCCCAGGGCAUGGCAGGUACGCUGAGUUAUGAAGCUGGGGGUCCCUGGAGCAGCUGGAGAAGAAACUCAGCAAAAGCCCCUGCCUUCACUGUCUGAAACCCCCGUUUCUUCCCCUCCCAUGCAUCCACAGGCCUUCCUGUACUCUGCUCUAUAAAAGAGAAAGACAUAACACCCUUCUAUGAAGACCCCAGAGCCAGAAGCAGCAAGUCUCAGAAAUUUCCUUUGUAUAACUGGCUUGUCCCUUUAUAAUCACAGAGUCUCCUGUUUCCCUUGUACUCCCAGGCCAUACACAAGGCCCCCAGACAGGACAAAGGGGAGCAAAGUGGGAUGGCUUCAACAUCCCUAGAACUGUCUGCAUCUGUUCCCACCAUAAACCCCAGGUUGGGGGCUAUCCCAUUAGUACCUCUGGGGUAGCUGGCUUUUUCUGGUCUUUUCUUCUCGCCUCACCCCCCUUAAAUCCAUGAAAUCUGAUAAAUGGCUGUUCAGAGAAACCCUGCACAGACGCUCCCUAGAGAGAUGUGACUUCAUGAGUUAACAUGCUUGCAAAUCACCCUUGGACCUGAACAUACAAGGAGAGCCCUAGAGCACAGAGGCGAUUUUUAGAGACAGCUGGACUUAGCUGAAGCUUGAAGGAUGGAUGAUAGACACUAAGAAGGCCUUCCUGACUACAGAGAGGGUAAAAUGCCAUGAGGCCAGGAAAGAGGGAAGAUUAUAAAACAAUAGGUUCUGUAGUUGUGUCAUUUGGGUUUUGUUUGCUUUUAAAGAAGGGUAACUAAGGUUUGCUGGCAUGUCCCUUCCAGCUUGCCCCCUGGGGAGCAGCUGGUGUGUGUAGGGCUUGGGGACUCUGAUGCGAGGAACCCACCCUCCUCCAGGUACUUGUUUCCCAGGUAGAGCCAUUCCCCUCUGCAGGGUUGCUGCCUGGUGAAUUGCAUCUCCCUUGAUGCACUAUUUUGUUACAGGUUAAAUGCUAGGCAUGUCAAAGGGCACGGUACAGUGAUUGGCAUAUGUACGCUCAGUCACCUGGCUGGACAAAGACUCACUGGUUCCUUAGCCAGGCCCUCCUUGGGGCUCUCUGACCUUGGUCUCUGCUUGGCUGGAUUUAGUUUCCUCAAGAAUCCUAAUGAGUGUGACUAAUAGAUACCUGGGACCCUGCAACUUGAUGUCUUUGUUUCUUCUUAGCAAUUUUCCAUCCAGUGAGCCCCACCCCUACAUCCACAUUCCUUCUCCGUGUCCAUAAAGCUCCACCUGUUAUAUGUGGUUGGUGCCAUAGAGGUAUAGGGAUCGUCAUAGUCCUCCCCCUCCUCCCUCUCUCCCUCCUUCAUUCUCCCUUCUCCCCUCCCCCUCCUCUUCUUCUAUCUCUUCCUAGUCUUCUUCUCUUUGUUUUCUUCUUCUCUUUCCCUUUUGGGAUCUUAUUUCUGCCUCUACCAGUAUGGCCUAGGCAGCUGGAGUCUUCCUUUUAACUGAAUAAAUUGAAAUUGUUGUCUGCCUGGAGACUACAGGGUGGAAGGGAAUGCCUUCUUUGUUGAGCUCAAGGCUGUUAAAUCUGAAAAACAAACAAACAGGCCGAAGAAGAAGAAGAAGAAGAAGAAGAAGAAGAAGAAGAAGAAGAAGAAGAAGAAGAAGAGGAGGAGGAGGAGGAGGAGGAGGAGGAGGAGGAGGAGGAGGAGGAGGAGGAGGAGGAGGAGGAGGAGGCGGCAGCGGCAGGGGCUAGGGGGCAGAUGUGGAGAAUUCAGGGUCCCUGUUCCUCUCUAGUUUACACAGCUAUCCAGGCAAACACAGCUGAACACCUUGGGAUCCAAGCAGCCUUUGCUUCCCUAAGGGGGAGAGAGAGGGGAGUCUUAGGCCUGAUUGCAUUGGGACACAGCAGAAUAGGGGGGUCCUCUCUUUUUCUGUCUGUCUGUCUGUUUGUCUUGGUGUAUUGUUUUUGUUUAAGAAGCUAAAUGGGAAACUUCAUUUAUUUGUUAUCCUCCACCCCCAAAUUCCAUGCUAUUGGAAAGCUGGAUCUAGAGUCAGAGGUGUUGUGGGUGUGAAAUCAAAGAGGCUCUUUGACUCCGCAAAGCCUCACCUUCUCUCUCUUAGGCUUGGCCAUGAAUUUUCCUUGCUCGCUCCCCUUUUUCCUAUUAGGUUAAGUAUAUAGAUCCUGAAAUUUUCUUCCCCAUAUAUACAUACCGAAUACAAAAAAAAAAAAAAAAAGAAAAAGAAAAAAAAACCUUUUAGCAAGCUAGAAAGAGGCAUAGAGAAUGGAAGAAGAAGAAACCAAUGGAAAAGAGAAAAGAGAAACAAAGAAACGAAGACAGUGUGGCUGAGUUGUAUGCUGUAACAAAGCACUCAAGAGCAAGGGCUUUAUAAAGAACAGACUUAGUCUCUGAUAGGUCCAGAUGCUCUGAAGUCGGAAAUCAAGAUGGUGAAUGGUGUCUGGUGAUGGCUUCUCCACUGCAUUAUCACAUGGCAGAAGGUGGAAGGGUAGAGAGCGUUAACUCUCCCAUGAACUCUUUUUAUACCAGCACUAAACACUGUCGUGAAGGUUGAGCCCUUGUGUCUCAACCACCUCCUGAAGCUUUUGAUUCCUUUAAAAACAGAUGCAUUUCAUUCUUAGUAUUUUAUUAAGGUGUGUGUGUGUGUGUGUGUGUAUGUGUGUGUGUGUUGGGUAUCUAUACAUUCCUGCAGAGGCAUUAGAUUCCCAAGAGCUGGAGUCACAGGUGGCUGUGAGCCUCAUAGUUUAGGGACUGGGAACCAAUCUCAUUCUCUGCAAGAGCAGUAAGUGCCCUUAGCUGCUGAGCCAUCCCUCGAACUCCCAGGUUUCAGCUCUCAAUAUCAUUGCAUGUCAAUUAAAUUUCAACAUGAACUGGGAAGAGAGCAGAUUUUCAAACCACAGUGCAGUAGAGGAACACAGCCAGAGCAACAGGAGGAUAAUGUUAUUUUCCUUACGUCAAAGCUUGCAGAAGUCACUUUCUGGCUAAUAAUUAUGGAAUGCUUGUUACAUGCUAGCUCUGGUUAGUCAUCAUAGCUGACAGAAUAAAUUCUGAUCUCUUGUAAAUCUAAAGAAAAAUUCCUUAAUGCUGCUGGCUUUGAUAAGACUCCUCGUAAACUACUGGGGAAGUGCAAGGAGUCUUCUUUCCCAUGGCCCCUCAGUAUCACAAACCAGCCCAGCUCAAAUGCUAGCAGCAUCUAUUGAAUGAAGCCUCCUAGGUCUCUUCUCUUGAGAAGUCCCCCAAGGAGAGGACAUGGACUUAGUUUUGUUAAGGGAUGCUAACUUAUCACAAGGCCAGUUUUUAGAGAAACUGGGAAUUCCCAUCUUGACCCCUUUCUAAGAUACAGACACCCACCCUUCUGUUGGGAUUUGUUGUAUUAAAGCCAAUGGAGUCAGACAUUGUAGAUUUCAUCAUUAGAUGAGAGCCAGUCUAUCUCUGCGAGUGAAGCUGGGGAAAGCACUGGCUGAAGCCAGAGGGGAAGAGAGAGAUGAGAGAGAUGAGAGAGAGAGAGAGAGAGAGAGAGA